rfam:Gossypium raimondii chromosome 4, whole genome shotgun sequence.
AUACCGUGGUGAGGGCACUUUUGUAAUAACUCAUUGAACUGCUCUCAUGCCUCAUAUAAAGAUUCUUCAUCAAUUUGCUGAAAUUAGGUGAUUACAUUUAAGAGCUU